AUAUCAAGUAGUAUUGUACAAUAAUAUUUUUUUUAUUGUAUUUAUAGAAUGUUUUUUAUUUAAAUAAAAAAAAAAGCAUUCUUAUGUAUUAUUUUAUUAAAAUAUAUAUUUAAUAAAAAAAAAUCAUGUUUGAUAUAUUUUUUAAUUAUAUAUUUUUAAUAAAACUAUAUAUAAAAAUUUUAUUAAUUU
rnacentral:misc_RNA from 1 species